rnacentral:rRNA from 1 species
AUGGUGCAGCAACAACAACAAAUGAAGAAGAUUGGAUUAGCAUCCCCAGAAGACCUUAUUUUACAUGAAGGAGAUAACCCCAUAACAUCCAUUAGGCUGAAGUUGGAUCUUCCAGUAAUGCUUAUGAUAAAAAUCAACCAAAGUGCGGGACUUUGCAAUGGGACAAGACUAACAAUAACACAGUUAGGAAGGCAGUUCAUUGAAGGCCAGUUCAGACGAGGAGACGGACCCACUAAAGAUUACUUUAAACCAAGUCGUAAAGCCCGCAGAACAGCACUAACCGUGCAAGCUAGCUCUAGGACACCUUCCAUCUGCCGCUGGACGAGGAAACUCCGCUCGACGAUGCGAGCGUGGGAGUACAAUGCAGCUUCGACGGAGACGUCGUACCACACCACAAAGGGGAACGGCCGGAUGACCAGCGCCCCGACCGCCACUACAAUAGGAUUUGCGAGGGCACAUAUGCGGGCGUUAUCCAGGAGAGCCGCCGGCGUAACCGCUCUCAUGGCGCCGCUCAGACGGAGCGCAGUAGACUAG